AAUAAAAGAAAUAGGAAAACCAGUAGAGUGAUUUAUCCGAUCUUUCACCCUAGUCGGUAUCGAUCUUCUAAUCGGUGCUGCUGCCGCCGCCGCCGGUGAUCCCUCUCAAGCCGAGCUUCCCAGACGCUUCGCGUUCCUCUCCUCCUGUCGCCGCCGCCACCGCCCGUGCCCUUUGCCCUGGGAAAAGUUGAUUACUGAAGACUUCAGCAUCCGAAGACCUAACAAGGUAGAUGGAAGGUGCUACAGAUCAGGUCAUAGAACGGCCAAUGUGGAAGAAAGUGGCCUAUGGAGGAAUGCAGCCAGGUUAUGAUGACAACUACACCGAUGAGUCAUUUCUUGAAGAAAUGGUUAUGAAUGCUAAUGUGGUAAAGAGGGAUCUUUGGAAAGUGAUGCAAGAUUCUGUCUCCAUUACUCAAUAUAUAUGCAUAGUAGCUCUUGUGGUCUCUGUAUGGGCUCACACAUUGAGCUUGAACAUUGAUGAGAUCUCUCUCCUUAAACUGGAUGUAGGUCUCCUAGCACUUGGUUUUUCGAUACUCUUGAUCACUACUAGUCAGCUCUCCGUGCAGCUUCUCUCACGGUAUUUUCUCAACAUUUCCUUUUUCAUAUGUGGCCUAUACAUUUUGGCACCUAUCUAUCACACUCUCACCAGGUCUAUGAGUUCAGAUUCAAUAGUGGCACUAACUGUAUCGCUUCUCAUCAUCCAUCUUUUCCUGCAUGAUUAUUCUGGCUCCACAAUAAGACCCCCCGGUGCUCUGAAGAACCCGAAUCUGGCAAGUAACAUCUCUUUGAAUGCGUCAAUAGUGGCAUCAGUUCUUGUGGCCUCACGCCUCCCAUCUAGGCUUCAUGUCUUUGCCAUCAUGCUCUUUUCUUUGCAAAUCUUUCUUUUUGCUCCACUUAUCACGUUUUGCAUCAAGAAAUACUCCAACAGAGUGCACCUAGGCUUUUCAUUUGCAUUAAUGAGUAUGACACUGAGUGUUGUGUACCAGUUGCAUGGCAUGCUCUUUGUUCUCUUGUUAGGUCUUCUACUUUUCAUAUCUGUUGUUUGCCCCUACUGGCUUAUAAGGAUACAGGAAUACAAGUUUGAGAUAAAUGGUCCAUGGGAUGAAGCUAAACUGUGUUUUGACAUAACGGAGUAAGCAUCACUUACCUGCAUGAUACCUUGUCAAGGGCAUGCUUUCAGUAAUUUACUAAGCAUAUUGCUCUUAUUACUCAUUCAUUUCGACAUUGUUCAAAUUUAGUAUUCAUGUGUGUACGUUGUUUCUAGUAUUUUCUUCUGUACAUCAAAUUAUCAGCUAAAUGCUGGUUUUGGACUGGUCUUCUGUACAGUAUUUCUUAUCCAUAAAUUGAAUGCUUUCCAACAAAAGUGUGGAGUUUCUGAUUAUUCAAAAUUCUUUGAAUAAUAACUCUAAGUAGACAUAUUUCUUAGAAUUCUCAAAGUAGACAUGUUUCUUAGAAUUAUCUUAUCCAUAAAUUGAAUGCUUUCAUCAAAAGUGUGGAGUUUCUGAUUAUUCAAAAUUCUUUGAAUAAUAACUCAAAGUAAACAUGUUUCUUAGAAUUCUCUUGUUGCUUCUUAAUUGUAAUUUCUUCAUAUCCUAUCCCAUUAUAAGAUAAGGAUAAAGUGAAGUGGAGAAAAUGGAUAUGACUUGUAUGAUCCUAAGUUGAAGCUCUAGUAGCUGUAUGACACUGUUUGAGGUUGAAGUCUCCUGUCACUGCUGUGUGGAGUGAAUUGGAUGUUCAAUAUGAGAUGAAGCAAAUUUCUCUGGAAUCAUGUAAUUUACACUUUUUAAUGUAAUCAUCUGUUCUGAAAGGUGGUUAUCUUUCAAAUAUAGGAUUUGGUAUGCAUUUGUGUGGUUAUGAAAUGUGUUAUAAAGCCUUUUGCUGUAAUUUUGUUGAUGAAGAUUUGUCAAUGGCCAAUCAUGGUUUGUCAUCAUAGGAUUGAGGCCUUCUCCAGCUGCCAAUUGUUUUGACAAUGGCAAAUUAGUGUUGAAGAAUUACACAUUAUUUUGGUUUUCUUUACUGGACAAUGUUGUCACAGAACAAAUUUUGAGCUUUAUAUAUUGUGCCAGAGUAUACCAAGUUAGAAAUGCUCGAGAAAAUUGGCUGCAUGAUUAUUGGUGGAACAAGUUUCUAUUUUAUAUAGUUCCUGCCUACAAUUUUUCUUUUAUACAUCAUGACUAUUUCUUAUGAGUCAAAGCAAAAGUUGAAAGAAAAACUUUUUUAUCUAAAAGGUAAGUUUUGUAGUUUUCUUUUACUUAAGUUUUACAUAGCCACAGCUAAUAACCAAGGAUGUUGUCUUGUUGUCUUGCACAAGGGCUUGUGGGAGCAUGGAAAUAACAAUGUAGCUGAUGCCAUAUGAAUGGAGUUCGAGCG